GGGUGAUUAGCUCAAUUGGUAGAGCAUCUCCUUUACACGGAGAAGGUCGGCGGUUCGAGACCGUCAUCACCCA
rfam:Buchnera aphidicola str. Bp (Baizongia pistaciae), complete genome.